UACGUAGGGCGCAAGCGUUAUCCGGAAUUAUUGGGCGUAAAGAGCUCGUAGGCGGUUUGUCGCGUCUGCCGUGAAAGUCCGGGGCUCAACUCCGGAUCUGCGGUGGGUACGGGCAGACUAGAGUGAUGUAGGGGAGACUGGAAUUCCUGGUGUAGCGGUGAAAUGCGCAGAUAUCAGGAGGAACACCGGUGGCGAAGGCGGGUCUCUGGGUAGUAACUGACGCUGAGGAACGAAAGCGUGGGUAGCGAACAGG
rnacentral:rRNA from 1 species